UACGUAGGGGGCAAGCGUUGUCCGGAUUUAUUGGGCGUAAAGAGCGUGUAGGCGGCCAUACAGGUCCGUUGUGAAAACUCGAGGCUCAACCUCGAGACGUCGAUGGAAACCGUAUGGCUAGAGUCCGGAAGAGGGGAGUGGAAUUCCUGGUGUAGCGGUGAAAUGCGCAGAUAUCAGGAGGAACACCGAUGGCGAAGGCAGCUCGCUGGGACGGUACUGACGCUGAGGCGCGAAAGCGUGGGGAGCAAACAGG
rnacentral:rRNA from 1 species